UGAGAGUUUGAUCCUGGCUCAGGACGAACGCUGGCGGCGUGCCUAAUACAUGCAAGUAGAACGCUGAAGAGAGGAGCUUGCUCUUCUUGGAUGAGUUGCGAACGGGUGAGUAACGCGUAGGUAACCUGCCUUGUAGCGGGGGAUAACUAUUGGAAACGAUAGCUAAUACCGCAUAACAAUGGAUGACACAUGUCAUUUAUUUGAAAGGGGCAAUUGCUCCACUACAAGAUGGACCUGCGUUGUAUUAGCUAGUAGGUGAGGUAAUGGCUCACCUAGGCGACGAUACAUAGCCGACCUGAGAGGGUGAUCGGCCACACUGGGACUGAGACACGGCCCAGACUCCUACGGGAGGCAGCAGUAGGGAAUCUUCGGCAAUGGGGGCAACCCUGACCGAGCAACGCCGCGUGAGUGAAGAAGGUUUUCGGAUCGUAAAGCUCUGUUGUAAGUCAAGAACGGGUGUGAGAGUGGAAAGUUCACACUGUGACGGUAGCUUACCAGAAAGGGACGGCUAACUACGUGCCAGCAGCCGCGGUAAUACGUAGGUCCCGAGCGUUGUCCGGAUUUAUUGGGCGUAAAGCGAGCGCAGGCGGUUUGAUAAGUCUGAAGUUAAAGGCUGUGGCUCAACCAUAGUUCGCUUUGGAAACUGUCAAACUUGAGUGCAGAAGGGGAGAGUGGAAUUCCAUGUGUAGCGGUGAAAUGCGUAGAUAUAUGGAGGAACACCGGUGGCGAAAGCGGCUCUCUGGUCUGUAACUGACGCUGAGGCUCGAAAGCGUGGGGAGCGAACAGGAUUAGAUACCCUGGUAGUCCACGCCGUAAACGAUGAGUGCUAGGUGUUGGAUCCUUUCCGGGAUUCAGUGCCGCAGCUAACGCAUUAAGCACUCCGCCUGGGGAGUACGACCGCAAGGUUGAAACUCAAAGGAAUUGACGGGGGCCCGCACAAGCGGUGGAGCAUGUGGUUUAAUUCGAAGCAACGCGAAGAACCUUACCAGGUCUUGACAUCCCGAUGCUAUUUCUAGAGAUAGAAAGUUACUUCGGUACAUCGGUGACAGGUGGUGCAUGGUUGUCGUCAGCUCGUGUCGUGAGAUGUUGGGUUAAGUCCCGCAACGAGCGCAACCCCUAUUGUUAGUUGCCAUCAUUCAGUUGGGCACUCUAGCGAGACUGCCGGUAAUAAACCGGAGGAAGGUGGGGAUGACGUCAAAUCAUCAUGCCCCUUAUGACCUGGGCUACACACGUGCUACAAUGGUUGGUACAACGAGUUGCGAGUCGGUGACGGCGAGCUAAUCUCUUAAAGCCAAUCUCAGUUCGGAUUGUAGGCUGCAACUCGCCUACAUGAAGUCGGAAUCGCUAGUAAUCGCGGAUCAGCACGCCGCGGUGAAUACGUUCCCGGGCCUUGUACACACCGCCCGUCACACCACGAGAGUUUGUAACACCCGAAGUCGGUGAGGUAACCUUUUGGAGCCAGCCGCCUAAGGUGGGACAGAUGAUUGGGGUGAAGUCGUAACAAGGUAGCCGUAUCGGAAGGUGCGGCUGGAUCACCUCCUUU
rnacentral:rRNA from 1 species